AUAGCAUGUCGCUGAAAAAACGUCAUAGUAUAGUAUGUCGGUCUAAAAACGUCAUAGUAUAGCAUAUCGCUCAAAAAAACGUCAUAGUAUAGCAUGUCAUUCUGAAAACGUCAUAGUAUAGCAUGUUGUCCAAAAAACGUCAUAGUAUAGCAUAUCGCUCAAAAAACGUCAUAGUAUAGCAUGUCAUUCUAAAAACGUCAUAGUAUAGCAUGUUGUCCAAAAGACGUCAUAGUAUCGCAUGUCGCUCAAAAAACAUCGUAGUAUAACAUGUCGUCCAAAAAAUGUCAUAGUAUAGCAUCUUGAUCUAAAAACAUCAUAGCAUAGCAUGUCGUCCAAAAAACGUCAUAGUAUAGCAUGUCGUCCAAAAAACGUCAUAGUAUAGCAUGUCGCUCAAAAAACGUCAUAGCAUAGCAUGUCGUCCAAAAAAAGUCAUAGUAUAGCAUGUCAUCCAAAAAACGUCAUAGUAUAGCAUCUCACUCUAAAAAUGUCAUAGCAUGUCGUCCAAAAAACGUCAUAGUACAGCAUGUUGCCCAGAAAACGUCAUAGUAUAGCAUGUCGCUCUAAAAACGUCAUAGUAUAGCAUGUCGCUCAAAAAACGUCAUAGUAUAGCCUUUGGUCCAAAAAACGUCAUAGUAUAGCAUGUCGCUCAAAAAAUGUCAUAGCAUAGCAUGUCGUCCAAAAACCUUCAUAGUAUAGCAUGUCGCUCUAAAAAAGUCAUAGCAUAGCAUGUCGUCCAAAAAAUAUCAUAGCACAGCAUGUUGUCCAAGAAACAUCAUAUUAUAGCAUGUCGUCCACAAAACGUCAUGGUAUAGCUUGUCGCUCUAAAAACGUCAUAGCAUAGCAUGUCCCUCAAAAAACAUGAUAGGAUAGUAUGUCGCUCUGAAAACGUCAUAGUAUAGCAUGUCGCUGAAAAAACGUCAUAGUAUAGCAUGUCGCUCUAAAAACAUCAUAGUAUAGCAUGUCGGUCAAAAAACGUCAUAGCCUUUGGUCCAACAAACAUCAUAGUAUAGCAUGUCGUCCAAAAAAUGUCAUAGUAUAGCAUGUUGUCCAAAAAAGACAUAGUAUAGCAUAUCGCUCAAAAAACAUCAUAGUAUAGCAUGUCGUCCAAAAAACGUCAUAGUAUAGCAUGUUGUCAAAAAAAUGUCAUAGUAAAGCAUGUCGCUCUAAAAACAUCAUAGCAUAGCAUGUCUCAAAAAACAUGAUCGUAUAACAUGUCGCUCUAAAAAUGACAUAGCAUAGCAUGUCGCUGAAAAAACGUCAUAGCAUAGCAUGUCGCUGAAAAAACGUCAUAGUAUAGUAUGUCGGUCUAAAAACGUCAUAGUAUAGCAUAUCGCUCAAAAAACGUCAUAGUAUAGCAUGUCAUUCUGAAAACGUCAUAGUAUAGCAUGUCGUCCAAAAAACGUCAUAUAGCAUAUCGCUCAAAAAACGUCAUAGUAUAGCAUGUCAUUCUAAAAACGUCAUAGUAUAGCAUGUCGCUCAAAAAACAUCGUAGUAUAACAUGUCGUCCAAAAAACAUCAUAGUAUAGCAUCUUGAUCUAAAAACAUCAUAGCAUAGCAUGUCGUCCAAAAAACGUCAUAUUAUAGCAUGUCGCUCAAAAAAAAUCAUAGUAUAGCAUGUCGCUCAAAAAAACAUCAUAGUAUAGCAUGUCGCUUUAAAAACGUCAUAGUAUAGCCUUUGGUCCAAAAAACGUUAUAGUGCAGCAUGUCACUCAAAAAACAUCACACUAUAUCAUGUCAUCCAAAAAACGUCAUAGUAUAGCAUGUCGCUCUAAAAACAUCAUAGCAUAGCAUGUCAUCCAAAAAACAUCAUAACAUAGCAUGUCACUCUAAAAACGUCAUAGUAUAGCAUGUCGCUCUAAAAACGUCAUAGUAUAGCAUGUCGCUCUAAAAAUGUCAUAGUAUAGCAUGUCGUCCAAAAACGUCAUAGUAUAGCAUGUCGCUCAAAAAACAUGAUAGUAUAGCAUGUUGCUCAGAAAACAUCGUAGUAUAGCCUUUGGUCCAAAAAACGUCAUAGUAUAGCAUCUUGCUCUAAAAACGUCAUAGCAUAGCAUGUCGUCCAAAAAACGUCAUAGUAUAGCAUGUCGCUCUAAAAACGUCAUAGUAUAGCCUUUGGUCCAAAAAACGUCAUAGUAUAGCAUGUCGCUCAAAAAAACGUCAUAGUAUAGCAUGUCGUCCAAAAAACGUCAUAGUAUAGCAUGUCGCUCAAAAAACAUCAUAGUAUAGCAUGUUGCUCAAAAAACGUCAUAGCAUAGCAUGUCGUCCAAAAACGUCAUUGUAUAGCAUGUCGCUCAAAAAACAUAGUAUAGCAUGCCGUCCAAAAAACGUCAUAGUAUAGCAUCUCGCUCUAAAAAUGUCAUAGCAUAGCAUGUCGUACAAAAAACGUCAUAGUACAGCAUGUUGCCCAGAAAACGUCAUAGUAUAGCAUGUCGCUCACAAAACGUCGUAGUUUAGCAUGUCGCUCAAAAAACGUCAUAGUAUAGCAUGUCGCUCUAAAAACGUCAUAGUAUAGCAUGUCGCUCUAAAAACGUCAUAGUAUAGUAUGUCACUCUAAAAACGUCCUUGUAUAGCCUUUGUUCCAACAAACAUCAUAAUAUAGCAUGUCGUCCAAAAAAUGUCAUAGUAUAGCCUUUGGUCCAAAAAAACGUCAUAGUAUAGCAUGUCGCUCUAAAAACGUCAUAGUAUAGCAUGUCGGUCAAAAAACGUCAUAGUAUAGCCUUUGGUCCAACAAACAUCAUAGUAUAGCAUGUCGCUCAAAAAACGUCAUAGUAUAGCAUGUCGCUCUAAAAACGUCAUAGUAUAGCAUGUCGGUCAAAAAACGUCAUAGUAUAGCCUUUGGUCCAACAAACAUCAUAGUAUAGCAUGUCGCUCAGAAAACGUCCUAGUAUAGCCUUUGGUCCAACAAACAUCAUAGUAUAGCAUGUCGUCCAAAAAAUGUCAUAGUAUAGCAUGUCACUCUAAAAGCGUCAUAGUAUAGCAUGUCGCUCUAAAAACAUCAUAGUAUAGCCUUUAGUCCACAAAACGUUGUUAUGUCCCGGCUGUCUGAAGUAGGUGAGGAGCAACACAAAAGUCCAAACGCUGGUUUCCAGAGCGUUAGACGAGUAUUUAUUUGAAAGGGUAAGUUUACAACAACACAACACGUGAGGGGGUUAAAAGCAAAUGGGUGUUAGUAAAAUAACAAUAAAUGAACAGAACUAAAAGUGAACUUUACGUUGACAUUGAUGGGCAUUCCAACUAGGAACAAAAGAUAAUCAAUACGAAAAAAAAUCUCUUCCUGUUCACCUCUUAAAACCCAAAAACACACUGCAGUAGCAACCUAAACUAAAACUACCAAUGGGUUCCCUGUUUUCCUUUGUGAACAAUUCAAAGGUCCCUCUCUAUCUCCCCACACAUCCACCAACCACUGGAACACAUCUCCAAAGUUCUGCCGGACCAGCUCAGCUUCCCCUCAGAAGAAGUGCUGCCACCUGCCAGAUGAAGGAGCCUUUUGAGAGGCAGCUGGCAUCGUGAUUGGACUGUACUUUGGUCUGUUCCAAUCCAGCUUCAACUCCAGAGACGGCAGGCAGGACGAGUCAACGGAGGCCGGGUGGACGAAGACAUGCAGCUGAGUACAAUCCAGAAAACAACAGAGGAGGAGUGCAGCGACACAGGGCCAGAACAACCAGAGUAGCAUGACCAAAGAACUACAGACUCUUCACAACCUGCUCAAACUCUUCGUACAGGACCUCACCACACGGGUCAAGAAGGUUUCCGUCCCAUUUCUACUCUGAAGAUCACCUUCUCCUGCUCAAACUGCUGACAAAUGUUUCUGCUGCUCUAAAGUCUGCUCUCCAGAAUGUCCUAAAAACUCUCAAAGUCUCUUCUGCUGCAGGUUGCUUUGUAGAACUGUUGCAGAAAACCUCACUAAACCACAUGGAAGGGCCACAAGAUAGUCAUCCAAAUGAAACCGUACAAAAACCAAACUAGCACAACCCAAACGCUAAAGUCUCCUGCAGCCUACCAGAGAACCUCUGAGAACAGAGAAUCAGGACAGGAACUCUUACCUUCUGGACAACCAACGUUGUUUCUCAAACAAGAAUACAGAAUGUGUCUGACCAAAAACCUCUAAAGACUCACUACAGCCAAGAUAAAGACACAACUCAGCUGCAUCAAAUCCACUAAUCACUGCACACAUUAGCACCAUGUGCUAACUGUGGCUAAAGAACCACAUUUACCAGGACAACUAUCCAGUACAAAGCCCUAAAACACACCAAGAAACACAUUAAAGACGAUUUUACUGCUGGAAGCUGCAAGCCAACGCCUAAAGAACAACCUAAAGCAACGGAGCCAAACCCGGUUCAGUGGUGAAGGAAGCAGAGGAAAUGUUUGGCUGCAGCUAAAUAAAGCAGGAAGACACUGAGCUGCUCAGGUGUUCCUGAUAACACCAAGCAGCCACCUGGACAGCCAAUAGGAACACAGCUUACUGGAAGUCCAGAGGGCUGGCUUAGUGAAGGAAAUUUAGUUUAAAGUUGAAGCAGAAAGUUAACAAAGAAAGUUGAAAACCACCUUCUGAUACCUGAAAUCUCUGAGUUUUCACACAAAGAACGCCUGAACAUGUCAAACUGGUUCCAUAGUAGAACCCUCAUUGUAAAAACAUCAUAGGAUGGUGUGUUGCUCAAAAAAAUUUAGGACCCGGCUGUCUAGGGUCGCUGAGGAGCAACACAAAAACAGGACAAACGCUGGUUUCCAGGGGGUUAGGAGGAUAUUUAUUUGAAAGAGUAAGUUUACAACAACACAACAUGUGAGCAGAAAAAUCACAAAGUCUGUGUUUAGUUCAGCUGAAAAUAUAAAUUUUUUUAUUGACCAAACCUUUCAGGAAGUAGAUGAAGAAUAAUUAAAGCUCUCGUGUAGAAGUCCAACUUAUUUUAGAUCCUUGUGGAGAGUUUAGAGAGCUGUUGAGUUUCAGAGUCACAUUUAAUAACCAAGUCCUGAAAUAAAAUUACAGUUGUGGAUUUCUCUCAUUUAGUCUGACUAAACUAAUAACAGCAGCAUAAAUCUCAAAUGUCAUUAUGAGGAGUCUGGAUUGAGGUUUCUCACUUGAUAAUGAUCAAAACAUGAAAUUUAGGUUGGUUUAAAGGAAUAUUCCACCUUAAAUCUUUGACUGUUGUCCUAAAAGGUUGGUUUCAGGGAGUAUUCCACCUACAAGGUCCUCACACAUUGACCUUAAAGGAACAUUCCACCAAAAAUCCUUGGACAUGCACCUAAAAUGUUGGUUUAACCGAGUAUUCCAUCCAAAAUCCUCAAAGAGACCUGAGGGGCUGGUUAAAAGGAAUAUUCCACCUAAAACCUCAAAUAUAGACCCAGAAGGGUGGUUUAGAAAAAAUCCUUCAAUGUAGACCAAAAAAGUUAGUAUGGAGGAAUAUUCCACCUGAAAUGUAGACCUGAGAAGUUGGUUUGGAAGAAUAUACCAUCCUAAACAUCCUUACAUGUAGACUAAAAGAGGGUUUGGAAGAAAAUUCCACCUAAAAUCAUCCAAUGUAGACCUAAAAGGUGAGUUUCAUGGUAUAUUCCACCUAAAAUUCACUACUGUAGACCUUGGAGGUUGGUCUGAUGGUAUAUUCCACCCAACAUCCUUUAACAUAAACUUAAAAAGUUCAUUCAAAGGAGUAUUCCACCUAAAAUCCUUCAAUGUAGACAAAAAAAUCUUGGUGUAAAGGAGUAUUCCACCUUAAAUGUAGACCUAUAGGAUGGUUUGGAGUAAUAUUCUACUCUAAAAUUUUCCACUGUAGACCUGAAAGGUUUAUCUGAUGGUAUAUUCUACUCAACAUCCUGGAACAUUUACCUAAAAGGUUGGUUUAAUGGUAUAUUCCCAGAAGAACCCUUGAACAUCGGGCUUAAUGGUAUAUUCCACCCAAAAUACUUGUACAUAUACCAAGAAGUCAGUGUAAAGGAAAUGUAGACCUAAAAGGAUUGUUUAAAGGAAUAUUUAAACUAUUAUUUUCAUUAUUUAAUAAUCUGUUAUCAGUCAGAACCCUGGCAAACUUAAUCAGUUUUUUUUAGUGGAAGUGACAAAUAAAGGAGCUCUUGGUUUUUCCCGGCGUUACUGAGUCCAAAGCUGCUGUUUCAACACAGACACGUUCACAUCCAUCCACAAACCUCUCAGCACUCAAACACCCACAGACAGGCAGCCGGCUGGGCCGAGGCUCGGCGGCGUCCUCAGACCCACGAGUCAGGGAGUCGGUGAACUUGUUGGUCCGGUUUGAAGGCCUCGUGUGGUCCAGUAGAAGUCCACGUAGUCGGUGUUGGCUUUGAACCGCAGCAACUGGCCGGCAUCAGGUGGACCAGCUCGUCCUCGUAGGGCUCCUACUAUAGCCUUGAGGGGACCACAGGAACAUUCAGUAGCUGUUGGAGUUCUUCCUGUCAGGCUCGUGGUAGAACGCCUCUGAAGAAUCUUGUACUUGUCUUAUCUGGAACAAUCUAACAGCCUAAACUGUUAACAGCGGUGUAAAGAAGCAAACACACAGACACAGAUUAGGAUUCACACUAUAUUUAUUUUAGAAAACAAAUCAGCUUAGAGGCAUUUGUUCACAAAUGUAGUUGAAUAGGAGGCCGUCCAAUCAGAUUUGAGGUCUUCACUCUGUAGGUUGGUUGUUCGGUGAGACUCUUGGACCUCAAUCUGCUGACGUGGAUGUUUGAUGGUCUUCUUCUCUAGUGCCAGAUGAUUCAUCCAUGAAUUCAGCAGCUACAGACUGAAAUGAAGCUCAUGCUGCUGUUAUUGAAUUCCUGUUCCAGAUCAAAUGUUCAGAGCUCACUUUGAAUGCAUGCCGUCUGCUGUCUGAUAGUUUUUCUCAUUGUAGUCUUCAAUAAAGUCUUUUUCCUCA